rnacentral:rRNA from 1 species
UACGAAGGGGGCUAGCGUUGUUCGGAAUUACUGGGCGUAAAGGGCGCGUAGGCGGUGUGUCAAGUCAGGCGUGAAAGCCCCGGGCUCAACCUGGGAACCGCGCUUGAGACUGGCACGCUCGAGUUCGGGAGAGGAUGGUGGAAUUCCCAGUGUAGAGGUGAAAUUCGUAGAUAUUGGGAAGAACACCGAUGGCGAAGGCAGCCAUCUGGACCGACACUGAC